rnacentral:rRNA from 1 species
UACGGAGGGUGCAAGCGUUGUCCGGAAUUAUUGGGCGUAAAGCGCGCGCAGGCGGUUAUGUAAGUCUGAUGUUAAAGCCCGGGGCUCAACCUCGGUUCGCAUUGGAAACUGCGUAACUUGAGUGCAGAAGAGGAAAGUGGUAUUCCACGUGUAGCGGUGAAAUGCGUAGAUAUGUGGAGGAACACCAGUGGCGAAGGCGACUUUCUGGUCUGUAACUGACGCUGAGGCGCGAAAGCGUGGGGAGCAAACAGG